rnacentral:rRNA from 1 species
GCYUAACACAUGCAAGUCGAACGAAGAUUGUAGUAAUACCGGUCUUUAGUGGCGAACGGGUGAGUAACGCCGUGGGUGACCUGCCCCGAAGUGUGGGAUACCAGUCCGAAAGGACUGCUAAUGCUGCAUAACAUCCAGGAGAUUAGAACCUGCUGGAUUAAAGGAUUUUUUCGCUUCGGGAGGGGCCUGCGUCCCAUCAGCUAGUUGGUAAGGUAAUGGCUUACCAAGGCGAUGACGGGUAGGGGACCUGAGAGGGUGACCCCCCACAAUGGAACUGAAACACGGUCCAUACACCUACGGGUGGCAGCAGUAGGGAAUAUUAGUAAUGGGCGAAAGCCUGAACUAGCAACCSCCSCGUGUGCGAAAGAAGGCCUUCGGGUUGUAAAGCACUUUUUGAGAAGGACCGAGGAAGGACCGGUACUCUCARAAUAAGUCUCGGCUAACUACGUGCCAGCAGCCGCGGUAAYAMGGCGAANUUNGUUUAACCNUCAGNCNNGNCCCCUUUGUAGG